rnacentral:lncRNA from 1 species
UUCAACCAUUAUUAUAACCACAACAUGAUCACCACUAUAUAUUAUCGCCAUCGUCGCUCCCGCCACCGUCGAUAUGGAAACAUACCAUUACCGCCGCCGCCGCCACCGUCGCUGCCACUACAAUCGUUAUUUUACUGUAACCACUAUUAUCACAUAUUAUCUAUCUAGUAUUCACCGACCGUCCCUAGAGCAAGUGGCAAAAAGCUUGGUGGUUGGUAUUCGAGACCCAAGUUCGAAUCCUAGUUGAUUCAUAUUUUCAGCUAAGUUUAUUUCUAAAUGAAAUAAACGAAGCGAGUAGCGUGCUACCUAUCUCUCUCAAAA